rnacentral:rRNA from 1 species
GAUGAACGCUGGCGGCGUGCCUAACACAUGCAAGUCGAACGGAGUCCAGCCUUUAAGACCUUCGGGUCAAAGAGGGGAAGACUGAGUGGCGGACGGGUGAGUAACACGUGGGCAACCUGGCUCAUAGAGGGGGAUAACAGAGAGAAAUUUCUGCUAAUUCCGCAUAAGCACACACUGCCGCAUGGCAGAGGGUGAAAAGAGAAUCGCUAUGAGAUGGACCCGCGUCUGAUUAGCCAGUUGGCAGGGUAAGAGCCUACCAAAGCGACGAUCAGUAGCCGAUCUGAGAGGAUGAACGGCCACAUUGGGACUGAGACACGGCCCAAACUCCUACGGGAGGCAGCAGUGGGGGAUAUUGCACAAUGGGGGGAACCCUGAUGCAGCGACGCCGCGUGAGUGAAGAAGUAUUUCGGUAUGUAAAGCUCUAUCAGCAGGGAAGAUAAUGACAGUACCUGAAUAAGAAGCCCCGGCUAACUACGUG